rnacentral:rRNA from 1 species
GAUGAACGCUGGCGGCGUGCUUAACACAUGCAAGUCGAACGGAAAGGCCCAAGCUUGCUUGGGUACUCGAGUGGCGAACGGGUGAGUAACACGUGGGUGAUCUGCCCUGCACUUCGGGAUAAGCCUGGGAAACUGGGUCUAAUACCGGAUAGGACCACUUCUUGGAUGUUGUGGUGGAAAGUUUUUUCGGUGUGGGAUGAGCUCGCGGCCUAUCAGCUUGUUGGUGGGGUAAUGGCCUACCAAGGCGUCGACGGGUAGCCGGCCUGAGAGGGUGUACGGCCACAUUGGGACUGAGGUACGGCCCAGACUCCUACGGGAGGCAGCAGUGGGGAAUAUUGCACAAUGGGCGCAAGCCGGAUGCAGCGACGCCGCGUGGGGGAUGACGGCCUUCGGGUUGUAAACUCCUUUCGCUAGGGACGAAGCGUUUUGUGACGGUACCUGGAGAAGAAGCACCGGCUAACUACGUG